rnacentral:lncRNA from 1 species
CUCUCCCUGCCCAAGUCUGAUACCAGCUGGCUACGAAGCCACAUAUUCAUUGUUCUGCUGGAUUUUAAAGACUGGGUCCCAGCCAAAGGACUGGACCGGAUCCAUUCAUUCAUUUUCAAGAUUGAAGUUGCAGCUUAACUGUAAUGACCAUUUCUCAACUCAGUCUGGAAACCUCUUCCAAAUUCAACAGAUGCCUGAGAGGGAAAUGUGUACUUGGAUGGGAAACAGCUCUGCCUGAGAAAGGAACAAAAGGAGGAACUGCCCUUUCAUAAUGCAUCAACAUUAUUGACUGGACUAUGAUUCCUUACUCGGAGUUAAGACUUGCAGAAGUGACAUCAACUUGAAAUACUGUAAAUGCACACGAUACAGCCCAGUCCAUGCUGCAGCAUUGAUCUGUGUUCAGGCAGAGAGCGGAUGGUAAUAGGUGUGAUGCCCAAAUAAGCCUUACGAUACAGAAGUCUGAGAACCACCGUUAUAGGAAGUUCGCCUGAUCUCUCCAAGCCCUCCAGUUUAGACGACAAACAUAUGAUUUCCAUCCUGCAAACCGACUUGGAGGUUUACUGAAGUUCUUCAUCUUCCCACGUAGGUAAGGUGCUAAAUAAACAGAGGCAGCCUGAGC